GAAGAACGCAGCGAAAUGCGAUAAGUAAUGUGAAUUGCAGAAUUCAGUGAAUCAUCGAAUCUUUGAACGCACAUUGCGCCCAUUAGUACUCUAGUGGGCAUGCCUGUUCGAGCGUCAUUACGACCCUUAAGCCUAGCUUAGUAUUGGGAACCUACGUGCGGCAGCUACCCUGUAGCUGCCCUGUAGCUCCUUAAAGACAACGGCGGAGACGUGGAGUCCUCUGAGCUUAGUAACUUUUCUAGCUUCUGAGGGCGCCGCGGCCCCUGCCGUAAAACCCCAACUUUUAGUGGUUGACCUCGGAUCAGGUAGGAAUACCCGCUGAACUUAAGCAUAUCAAUAAGCGGAGGAAAAGAAACCAACAGGGAUUGCCUUAGUAACGGCGAGUGAAGCGGCAACAGCUCAAAUUUGAAAGCUGGCCUUCGGGUCCGCGUUGUAAUUUGUAGAGGAUGCUUUUGGUUAGGUGCCUUACGAGUUCCCUGGAACGGGACGCCUUAGAGGGUGAGAGCCCCGUACGUUUGGUUACCGAGCCUCUGUAAAGCUCCUUCGACGAGUCGAGUAGUUUGGGAAUGCUGCUCUAAAUGGGAGGUAAAUUUCUUCUAAAGCUAAAUACCGGCCAGAGACCGAUAGCGCACAAGUAGAGUGAUCGAAAGAUGAAAAGCACUUUGAAAAGAGGGUUAAAUAGCACGUGAAAUUGUUGAAAGGGAAGCGUUUAUGACCAGACUUUUUCCUAGCGGAUCAUCCGG
rnacentral:rRNA from 1 species